rnacentral:rRNA from 1 species
GGGGAACGGUUGAUCGGCAUUAUUGAGGCGUAGAGAGCUCGUAGGCGGUUUGUCGCGUCUGCUGUGAAAACCCGAGGCUCAACCUCGGGCCUGCAGUGGGUACGGGCAGACUAGAGUGCGGUAGGGGAGAUUGGAAUUCCUGGUGUAGCGGUGGAAUGCGCAGAUAUCAGGAGGAACACCAAUGGCGAAGGCAGAUCUCUGGGCCGUAACUGACGCUGAGGAGCGAAAGCAUGGGGAGCGAACAGGAUUAGAUACCCUGGUAGUCCAUGCCGUAAACGUUGGGAACUAGAUGUGGGGACCAUUCCACGGUCUCCGUGUCGCAGCUAACGCAUUAAGUUCCCCGCCUGGGGAGUACGGCCGCAAGGCUAAAACUCAAAGGAAUUGACGGGGGCCCGCACAAGCGGCGGAGCAUGCGGAUUAAUUCGAUGCAACGCGAAGAACCUUACCAAGGCUUGACAUAUAGAGGAAACGGUUGGAAACAGUCGCCCCGCAAGGUCUCUAUACAGGUGGUGCAUGGUUGUCGUCAGCUCGUGUCGUGAGAUGUUGGGUUAAGUCCCGCAACGAGCGCAACCCUCGUCCUAUGUUGCCAGCACGUAAUGGUGGGAACUCAUGGGAUACUGCCGGGGUCAACUCGGAGGAAGGUGGGGAUGACGUCAAAUCAUCAUGCCCCUUAUGUCUUGGGCUUCACGCAUGCUACAAUGGCCGGUACAAAGGGCUGCAAUACCGCAAGGUGGAGCGAAUCCCAAAAAGCCGGUCUCAGUUCGGAUUGAGGUCUGCAACUCGACCUCAUGAAGUCGGAGUCGCUAGUAAUCGCAUAUCAGCAACGCUGCGGUGAAUACGUUCCCGGGCCUUGUACACACCGCCCGUCAAGUCA